UAGGGAAUCUUCGGCAAUGGGGGCAACCCUGACUGAGCAACGCCGCGUGAGUGAAGAAGGUUUUCGGAUCGUAAAGCUCUGUUGUAAGUCAAGAACGAGUGUGAGAGUGGAAAGUUCACACUGUGACGGUAGCUUAUCAGAAAGGGACGGCUAACUACGUGCCAGCAGCCGCGGUAAUACGUAGGUCCCGAGCGUUGUCCGGAUUUAUUGGGCGUAAAGCGAGCGCAGGCGGUUUGAUAAGUCUGAAGUUAAAGGCUGUGGCUCAACCAUAGUUCGCUUUGGAAACUGUCAAACUUGAGUGCAGAAGGGGAGAGUGGAAUUCCAUGUGUAGCGGUGAAAUGCGUAGAUAUAUGGAGGAACACCGGUGGCGAAAGCGGCUCUCUGGUCUGUAACUGACGCUGAGGCUCGAAAGCGUGGGGAGCGAACAGGAUUAGAUACCCUGGUAGUCCACGCCGUAAACGAUGAGUGCUAGGUGUUGGAUCCUUUCCGGGAUUCAGUGCCGCAGCUAACGCAUUAAGCACUCCGCCUGGGGAGUACGACCGCAAGGUUG
rnacentral:rRNA from 1 species